rnacentral:rRNA from 1 species
GGUCGACGAUUGAGAGUUUGAUCCUGGCUCAGAUUGAACGCUGGCGGAAUGCUUUACACAUGCAAGUCGAACGGCAGCACGGGAGCUUGCUCCUGGUGGCGAGUGGCGAACGGGUGAGUAAUGCGUCGGAACGUACCGAGUAAUGGGGGAUAACGCACCGAAAGGUGUGCUAAUACCGCAUACGCCCUGAGGGGGAAAGCAGGGGAUCGCAAGACCUUGCGUUAUUCGAGCGGCCGACGUCUGAUUAGCUAGUUGGUGGGGUAAAGGCCUACCAAGGCGACGAUCAGUAGCGGGUCUGAGAGGAUGAUCCGCCACACUGGGACUGAGACACGGCCCAGACUCCUACGGGAGGCAGCAGUGGGGAAUUUUGGACAAUGGGGGCAACCCUGAUCCAGCCAUUCCGCGUGAGUGAAGAAGGCCUUCGGGUUGUAAAGCUCUUUCAGCUGGAACGAAACGGUGAGCUCUAACAUAGCUUGCUAAUGACGGUACCAGCAGAAGAAGCACCGGCUAACUACGUGCCAGCAGCCGCGGUAAUACGUAGGGUGCGAGCGUUAAUCGGAAUUACUGGGCGUAAAGCGUGCGCAGGCGGAUUGUUAAGCAAGAUGUGAAAUCCCCGGGCUUAACCUGGGAAUGGCAUUUUGAACUGGCAGUCUAGAGUGUGUCAGAGGGGGGUGGAAUUCCACGUGUAGCAGUGAAAUGCGUAGAGAUGUGGAGGAACACCGAUGGCGAAGGCAGCCCCCUGGGAUAACACUGACGCUCAUGUACGAAAGCGUGGGUAGCAAACAGGAUUAGAUACCCUGGUAGUCCACGCCCUAAACGAUGAUAACUAGCUGUCGGGGCGCUUGGCGUUUCGGUGGCGCAGCUAACGCAUUAAGUUAUCCGCCUGGGGAGUACGGCCGCAAGGUUAAAACUCAAAGGAAUUGACGGGGGCCUGCACAAGCGGCGGAGCAUGUGGUUUAAUUCGAAGCAACGCGCAGAACCUUACCAGCGUUUGACAUCCCGAUCGCGGUUGGUGGAGACACCUUCCUUCAGUUCGGCUGGAUCGGUGACAGGUGCUGCAUGGCUGUCGUCAGCUCGUGUCGUGAGAUGUUGGGUUAAGUCCCGCAACGAGCGCAACCCUCGCCUUCAGUUACCAUCAUUUAGUUGGGUACUCUGGAGGAACUGCCGGUGAUAAGCCGGAGGAAGGUGGGGAUGACGUCAAGUCCUCAUGGCCCUUACGCGCUGGGCUACACACGUGCUACAAUGGCAAGUACAGAGGGCUGCAAGCCGGCGACGGUGAGCUAAUCUCCAAAACUUGUCUCAGUUCGGAUUGUUCUCUGCAACUCGAGAGCAUGAAGGCGGAAUCGCUAGUAAUCGCGGAUCAGCAUGCCGCGGUGAAUACGUUCCCAGGCCUUGUACACACCGCCCGUCACACCAUGGGAGUUGGAUUGACCCGAAGGCAGUGGGCUAACCCGCAAGGGAGGCAGCUGACCACGGUCGGUUCAGCGACUGGGGUGAAGUCGUAACAAGGUAGCCGUA